GAUGAACGCUAGCGAUAGGCUUAACACAUGCAAGUCGAGGGGCAGCACAAGGUAGCUUGCUAUCUGGGUGGCGACCGGCGCACGGGUGCGUCACGCGUAUGCAACUUGCGCUAUACAGGAGGAUAACCCGUCGAAAGACGGACUACUACUGCGUAUGCUCACAACUUGGCAUCAAGUGGUGAGGAAAGAAAUUCGGUAUAGGAUACGCAUGCGUGCCAUUAGCUUGUUGGUGAGGUAAUGGCUCACCAAGGCAACGAUGGGUAGGGUAACUGAGAGGUGCAGCCCUCACACUGGGACUGGGACAAGGAGCAGAGUGCUACGGGAGGCAGCAGUGAGGAAGAUAGGUGAGGGGGCGCGAGCCUGAACCGGCGAAGUCGCGUGAAGGAUGACUGUCUGAUGGAUGGUAAACUUCGGGUAGACGGGAAUAACAAGAGUCACGUGUGACUCCCUGCAGGUACCGGAUAAAGAAGCAUCGGCUAACUCCGU
rnacentral:rRNA from 1 species